AGAUAAGCGGAUGGGUAUUCGAGUGGCAGCGGGAUCUGAAUCAGUGACCCUUCAGCCCUGGCUGACGGGACUCGCAGCUGUUGUGGGCUUCCUAUUCAUUGUCUUCACCAUCUUGAUAGUUCACAGGCUACUCAGGAAGAACAGGUCAGCUACGCACACAAACCCACACACACUUAUACAACUUUAUAGACCUUGUAUUAGUGUGAUUUGAUUGAACAACAUUUAUUUUGAACAAGGAAUGGGAAGAAGUAUAAAUUGGUUAAACCUCACCUCUCCUCCAUCAGUAUGACAAAAACAGCCGGUUUCUCUGCAUAGAUAAGAUAAUACAUCAAACUUAUCAUUGAGAAGUUACCUUAGUUAAACACUCAAGGCUAAUAUUUUCAAAUGUGAUUUACUUACAAUAUGUCUAAGUGUCGAGUAAAUAAUAAUAAUGAUCAUUAACCAAGCACCUACAAACAAACCACUCUAAAUGUGCACUUAGAUUUUUAUACUCAUAUCUUUACAACUUUGUCCUAUCAGUUACAUGCAUGCAAUAAUACUGACAAUGCACCUAAUUUACAGCUUUGUUGAUUCUGUUGACACUUCUUGUUUUACUCUUUUCCAAAACAGGACGCUGUCCUUGAGAAUUUUGCAUCAUUAGACAUUAUUUUUGCUAAAAGUAUAGUACAAGUAUUUUGUUAAGAUUUUUCAGAGUUUAACUAAGCUUUCAGAUGUAUUACCAAACGAUUUGCCAGCAUAGCAACAAGUCCAGAAUGAAAAACAGAAGGUCACAGCAGUAUUUUAACUCUUGGUUUUAGUGAUGUUUCUAACAAGGCCCUACCCAACCUGUCUGCUGUCUGUUUUAUUUUGUCACAGGGAGAAUGAAGAAGAAUGGGGGUAUGACAACAAAGUUAUGGAGCUGGAUGAAGGAGACAUCAAACAAACCACGCUGUAGUGAAGGUCACCCUUCUGCCAUCAAAUCAAAGUCACCUGCUCACUUAUGACAAGCGCUUAUCCACCAAAAAAUACGAGUUGGUUAAAUCAACUUGUGUUUUAAGGGCUAGCAAAUCUGUUUAAAGCUAUGAAGACAGCUUGGUGUGUUUAUUGUACUAAAGAUGAAGCUUUGCAGAUUAACUAAUUCAUCUUUUUUUCUGUUAAUCUCUUUCCUUUGAGAGAUUAAAAAUAAUCCUUUUCAUUAUGGAUUACAAAA